GCUGCUGGUUUGUGGCUUGAGGUUUCCCAUUCUCACAUCAGACACAGAUUCUGAGCUCAGAAGCCUAGAACAUCCACUUGCUCUUAAUUAUGAGCUUUGUGCAUGGAAUCGCACUUCUCUUGACUUUGGGUGUUGUGAGUGAUGCUAAAACAACACAGCCAACUUCAAUGGGAAGUACUGAAGAAGAAACUGUCCACUUGCCGUGUAACCACUCCACGAUCAGUGGGAACGAGUAUAUUUAUUGGUACCGACAGGCUCCUCUUCAGGGUCCAGAAUACGUCAUUCAUGGUCUACAACAAAAUACAAGCAAUAGAAUGGCCUUUCUGGCUAUUCCCCCUGAUAGAAAGUCAAGUACCUUGAUCCUGCCUCGUGUCAGCCUGAGAGACGCUGCUGUAUACCACUGUAUUCUGAGAGUAGCACACUGUGACAAACCGGAGUGCACCUGUGCAAAAUCUCCCUGGUGGGGGAGGAGAGCGGUGGCAUCCACCAAGAGGCCUCUGCAUGGAAAUGUGCUGAAGCCCUACAGGAGAAAGAGAAGACUGGAGAACCAAGCAGGGACGGGAAAGGAAUGCAGGGACUGGGUGAGAACAGCCAACAAUAAAUGGAUGGACAUGCCUGCAGGGCAGCUGAUAGUGCAAUUUUCAGUUCUGCAGUGAGAAGGGAAUGAGAACUCCUGACUCUCUCUUUUCAUUAAAAAAAGGUUUAUUUCUCUGUAAACCUAAUUUAAAAUUAUGAGAAAAUCCUUUUGGAGCCAGGGAAGUGUCCAAGCUCUGGGGACGCAUGACUACGUCCUCCCAA